rnacentral:misc_RNA from 1 species
AACGCACCUUGCGCUCCUUGGUAUUCCAUGGAGCAUGCCUGUUUGAGCGUCACGUUAACCCUCACCCAUGCGAUGUCAAAGUCACAUGCGGUGGACUUGGAUUGUGCCGUCAUUGGCUCAUCCUGAAAUGCAUUAGCUUGCGCCUUUUAGAGUGUGGGCACGGUGUGAUAAUUAUCUGCUCCGUCGCCACUGGCCUCUUCUGUGUGCGCCGCUUACAGUCGUCCCUAGCGGACAAUGUGUAUCAAAGCUUUGGCCUCAAAUCAGGUAGGACUACCCGCUGAACUUAA